GGAGUUUGGGCCGUGUCUCAGUCCCAAUGUGGCCGAUCACCCUCUCAGGUCGGCUACCGAUCGUCGACUAGGUGGGCCGUUACCUCACCUACUAUCUAAUCGGACGCGAGCCCACCCUUCACCGGAUUCCUCCUUUGACCCCUGGGCCAUGCAGCCCCGUGGUCUUAUGCGGUAUUAGUACAACUUUCGCUGUGUUAUCCCCCUGUGAAGGACAGGUUGCUCACGCGUUACUCACCCGUCCGCCGCUAAAACAUACAUCUCCGCUUCCAUCCGAAAACUUCCACUUCGUCGCAUGUCUCCGCUCGACUUGCAUGUGUUAGGCACGCCGCCAGCGUUCGUCCUCGAGCCAUGAUCAAACUACU
rnacentral:rRNA from 1 species